GGCAAAACGUCCGCCCGGGCCCGAGGCGGGCGGAGGCAGCUGUGGUUACGUGCGGGGGGCCGGUGACGCAGUCGCGGGGCGCUGGGACGCGACUUGCGGAGCCGGCCGGCGGGGGCAGGCCCCAGGCUUGGGCGCGGCGGCGGGACAGCACCUACCUUCCCGGCUUCGGGUCCGGGAGUGCGGGGCGCGGAGCCGCCGGAGCGCUGCCUCCCUCCUUCCUCCUCCCCUCGCCCCCGCCCCGCGGCGCGACACACAAUACUCGCCGGAAGCGGAAGCCGCGCCGAGGCUCGUGUCAGUGGAAGCUGGGGUGUCGGCGGGCGGCCGCGGCCGGGUCUAGCGGUGCCUGCGGAAGGAGGAGGAGGAGGAGGAGGGCUGGCGAUGAGAACCAGCAGGAGGAAUCAAGGGCAAGGAGGGACCCAGAGGGGCAGGUGGCUGAGAUGCUGGCGUCCAGGUGACCCGAGGAAUCCUCUGGAGAUAGAGGCCCGCGCAUGCGCGUGCUCGAGCGCUGAAGCCCAUUGCCCGCAGGGCGCUGGACUGGCGCCCCGGCCGGCGAGGCUGUCUCGUCCAGGCUCCAGGCCCCGGCUCUGGCCAGGCGCCGCCACCUCCCCGUGCAGUUGAAAGUCGACGAAGAGGGCGGGGCGAGGGCGGCUUGUGGACUUCCACACUUUUCCUUUCUUCGGGCCAGUCCGGGGAGAGGGUGGCUAGCUGUGGCGGCGGCCAAUUACGUGGCGGACCUGCGGGGCUAAGCUGGCACGUCACUUCCGACUAGUGGAGUUUUUAGCCUUUUAACAUUCAAGGAUUAGAACUCCCUCUUUGCCCACUAGCAGGGCAUUAGCUGGUGCUGAAGACAGUGGCUGCUUGGCGAGCCUGGAUCUCCAAGUGACUCCAAGUGACCCCCUCAGCAACUCCUGAUGAACAGGACUGAAGCCAAUAUUAAAGCAAGUCAACCAAAGGUUCUCUGGUGUAGACAAGACAGCAAAAGGACAGACUACCUUGUGGAACCUAGCAUUGUUCUCCUUCUGCAGCACUAAGUAACAUUUGUGCUCUGUUAAGAUCUUUGCAAACCACACACAAGAAUUGCUGGUCAUCCUGCCAAUAGAUGCUGCUCACAGAACCACAUUUCCUGUGCUGAAUUGUCACUCAUGGGCUUGAGAGUAGGAGACUGGAGACCAAGGUGGCUAGAAUCCAGUUGGGCCUGACGUCUCCCUGUUGAAAGGGCUCCUUGUGGAAUGAACAGCACAUGACUCCCGUGGUGGAUCUGAUAGUGGCACAGCACCAAGUGAUGCAGGCCUGCCAGGGGCCACAGACACAGAAGAUGCUCCCAGGGUCCCCCGUGUACUCCAGACACACUGCAGGCCACCUCUCCCAGCAGGUUCCCAGUCAUGGGCCCCAUCGUCAUGACUUCUGUCCAAGGUGUGCUCAGAAAUCUCUUCCUUAACUGUGACUUUCUGACAGGUGGAGGAUGUGGUCAGGAGUGGGAAAAGGAUUCGAGAUGGGAAGAGGGAGGGGUUCAGAAUGAAGAGAGAUAAUCUGUGCCACAGAUGCUGGCCCUGCAGUUAGCUCCCACCUAGUCCGUGCACACAUAUUCUAAUCCCCUCCCAUUCCUCUACAUGCUGCGGCCAGAGAGGCGUUUCUCAAAGUGGAAGUCUCAUCCUCACUUCUCCGGUUACAGUGCUGGGCCAUGGAUAACUUACAAGGCUUAGCAGGAACUGUCUGCGCACUCCCCCUUCCUGCCCACUACCUUGUUUCCCUCCAGUCGCGAGAGCAAACAUUGAUUGAGCAUUAACUAUGUGCCAGGCUUGUCCUAAGUCCUUCACAUGUAUUCACUCAAACAAUCCUCACAACAUUCCAAUCACAUCUCCCAUUUCACAGUGAGGGUUCUAAAGCACACAGUGGGUGAGGAACUUGUCCAGGGUCACACAACUAAGUAGGGGUGGAGAAACAUCAAAUCUAGGUGGCCCAGGUGGUGGCCAGAACCCAUCAGCACCUCACUACAGCUGCCUCCAGUUUCUCCCUCUAGGAAAUACUCUUCCCUGUCAACUCCUGUUGUCCCCUGGGCUCAGUUGACAUGUCAUCUCCUUGAGGAGGACAUCCUGAGAUGCUCCCCGACUAGGGUGGGCACCCACUUCCACACUCCAAAUGCCUAUUUGACCUAUGUAUUGCUGCAUCCCCACUGCCAGGCAGAUAGUGGGCCCCUAAUAACUAUGAUUUGAGCAAAUAAAUAUAGUUCUUCAAAAAAAAGGGAGGACUCCUUGCUUCUGAUAAUGGUGGGCUAGGACAUUGGACCAACCCUCCUGCAGAAAAUAGCCAUUUAUUUUGAUGCAAUAUACCUGGCUAUGACUAGAGAUUUCAAAUAUUUGGAGGGCUAUUAUGUGAAGAAUUAUACUUACUCUUUGUGACAUAGAGGUCAGAAAUUGGUCGUUUCCAUAGAGGAUGAGAGACACAGAAUUGUGCUCAUCAUAAGUAUCUUUUUUAAAAAUUAUACUUAGUAAAAUGGGCUGCCUUGGUAGGUGCUGAGUUCUCUGUCACGAAAGAGAUUCAGCCACUUGCUCUGAGAAAGCAUGGAGAAUAUCAACAUUGUAAGGGUCGACCACCUCAUCUCUGAGGCCCCCUCCUCACUUAGGUUGCCAUUGCAGGUGGAACACUGGGCUGAGUGUCAAAGAACCUGGGUUCCACAAGCUGUGCGAUCAUGGCUGGUUGUUUUGGAUCUCAUUCCUUAUCUGUUAGUUAAGCUGACCCAUCAGUACUGACCCACUUCACAGAGUUAUGAAGGGAUUAAAUUAGGUAUUACAUAUAAAUCUUUGUUUUGUUUGCUUUUUGUUGUUUUUUUUUGUUUUGCUUUUUUCUUUGCAUUAUGAAAUCCCAAGUCAACUUUUUCCAUUCUUUUAUUUUUAAAAAAUUGACAUCAUCAUUAUAACAACAAAAUCAUUUUUAAAGUGAAAAAACUCACCUGCAACCCCACAAUCUAAUACAAUAAUCAUACUUUUUUCCCUUUAUUCUCCUUUAUUGUGACCAAGGAUGACUUUGGGCAUUGCUGUGAGGAACUAUUUCGUUUAACACCCUGCUACCUGAACAUGAUUCACACUCAGCCUUUCACCACCCCCCAAGUAGCUACACAUGAUACGAUAAUAGUAUUGGCGGUGGUUUUAGAGAGUUGGAGAGAAAACUGAAGUUGGAUUUGGGUAAAAGAAAAAAGAGUGGGAAUUAUUUUUUCUCCAUUCUAAAGCCCAUAGAGCAAUGUUAAUUGUUCCCACCCCUCUGCUAUUCUGUCUCCUCAGUUACUGUGUGCAGAAAUGUGAUUGAGAUUCAAGUCAGGGCCUCUCUGCCCUUUUCCCUCCAGAAACAAAACCAAGAUAAUUUAUCCGGAACAAGGUGAAAAAAGGAAGGGAGGGAGGAGAAAAAGUCCGGGUCUUACCUGGGAUUCUCUGUCUCCUGCAACAUGAAGGGUUUAGCGUGGGAGGAGGUGGUGAGAACUCUGGGAGAGAAAAAAGGAAAGAAUAGUUUUACCCAUGCUGAAGUUAAACCUUCACCUAGAGAAGCAAAAAAAAACCACACUUCUCCAUUUUGUGCCUCCCUUCCUAGAGUUUAGCUCUUUGGCUAAACUUUUUAGCCAAAAACCUUUUUAGCCAAAGUUUAGCUAAGUAAUUGGUUUUACCAGGGCACUCACUCCUCCUAUCCCGAGUCUAUUUGACUCCCUCCCCAUCAUCCCCCUCACCUCUUUUCAGGCAGGGUGGGAAUAGCAGCAGGAGGAGAUUUUGGGAGCCUGGCAACUCCUGCAAGGACCGCAGGACAGCCCCUCUGUGGGGAUGCAUGGUGCCCCAUCUGCUGCCCUUCUGAAGAAUGCACUGCCUUCACUACUGUGUUAGAGUCCAUCCAGACUGUUCUGUCCAAAAAAGAGUUUCUUUUUCCCGCAUAGGCAAUCAGGAAAUGAUUCCUUUCCCGACUGCUUCUGUCUAGUGCCUGGGAAUCCUGAGUCAAUCCCUCAGUAAGUCAGUGACUAGGGAAAUCUACCCUCUCUGAACCUCGCAGUUCAUGUUGCUUAGGGAACCUGAUAUUUUCAUGAAACCUGCCUACACAUGGGCAGCCCAACAGCAGAGCAAAUGGUGGUGACCAAAGUGAACAAAGAAGUAUAGUUGUGCCAGCUUCCUAGUUGCCCAUGUGGACAAGUCAGCAGGAUCAAGACACAAGGAAGAGUAAACGUGAGACAGCAUGUGACUUCUGCGAUAAACAGAUUUUUAAACCCUGAAAUUUUGCUAAAAUUUUGGUGAAACCUGAACUUUCUUCGUUGCAUAUACUGGCACUAUCUGUACCAUCAUACAACUGUCUCACAUUAAAGCUAUUUUUCUUGAGCACUGAUGAGUAAGGUUGGUAUGUUUGAGUUCCUCGGAUCAACAAAAUCCCAUUUUCCUGUAAGUCUUACAUUUAGUAUUUAAGGAACUAAAACUUAAAUACACUUUGUGAAGUGGUUGACACUUCACUGAUAAUGAUUUAUUACUUGGAUUAAUAAAUUUUCCAAAAGUUGUCUUAUUAUGUAGAAUACGGUUUGCAACCAGCAGAACCAUUGAUCUAUACUGCAAUGAUAUGCACUAUGUAUAAUUGUUUAAAAGCCUCUACUUAAUGAUGUAAAAUGCUCUAAUUACACAUUUGGGUAAACUGUAUACUAACAUCUGAUGGCAUUUUUCCACUGUUUGUUGCUUUUUUCAAAUACUUUAUUGUACAAAGCUGUUCUUAAUAUUUUUCAAGUUUUUUUCUUUGAAUUUUGCUAAUGUUUUCCUUGAAUUAUGAGCACUGACAGAAUGUGCUUAGCACUUUUGGCUAUUCACACAGCUUUUGAGCAUGAUUUGCAUCCAAUAUUUACAUUGCUAGCAAUAAUAAGCCAUCUGUGAGUUUUGUCAAAA